UACAGAGGUCUCGAGCGUUAGGCGGAAUCACUGGGCUUAAAGCGCGUGUAGGCGGUCCGGUAAGUCCGCUGUGAAAGCCCUGGGCUCAACCUGGGAAUUGCAGUGGAUACUGGCAAGCUAGAGUGCGGUAGAGGAUGGUGGAAUUCCCGGUGUAGCGGUGAAAUGCGUAGAGAUCGGGAGGAACACCCGUGGCGAAGGCGGCCAUCUGGACCAGCACUGACGCUGAGGCACGAAAGCGUGGGGAGCAAACAGG
rnacentral:rRNA from 1 species